GAUCUGUAUGAAAUUGGCUCCACCUGUCUCCCUAGGCAUUCUCUCAUCUGAGGAAUAAGGCUUAAAACGGGGAUAAGUAAGGGGAAUUAGAGCAACUACAGCAACGGUGGAGACGCCGCGAUCGAUGACAGCGGUGCUGCAGGUGGGCUAGCUGUGCCAACAAGGAAGGGGUAUUCUAAAAUUUUAAAGUAAAUUAUUUAAUUAAAUCACAAAUUCAUAAA